UACGUAGGGGGCAAGCGUUGUCCGGAUUUAUUGGGCGUAAAGAGCGUGUAGGCGGCCAGGUAGGUCCGUUGUGAAAACUGGAAGCUUAACCUCCAGCUGUCGAUGGAAACCAUCUGGCUAGAGUCCGGAAGAGGAGAGUGGAAUUCCUGGUGUAGCGGUGAAAUGCGCAGAUAUCAGGAAGAACACCCGUGGCGAAGGCGGCUCUCUGGGACGGUACUGACGCUGAGACGCGAAAGCGUGGGGAGCGAACAGG
rnacentral:rRNA from 1 species